rnacentral:misc_RNA from 1 species
GAUGAAGAACGCAGUGAAAUGCGAUACGUAAUGUGAAUUGCAGAAUUCAGUGAAUCAUCGAGUCUUUGAACGCACAUUGCGCCCCCUGGUAUUCCGGGGGGCAUGCCUGUCCGAGCGUCAUUGCUGCCCUCAAGCACGGCUUGUGUGUUGGGCCUCCGUCCUCCUCCCGGGGGACGGGCCCGAAAGGCAGCGGCGGCACCGCGUCCGGUCCUCGAGCGUAUGGGGCUUCGUCACCCGCUCUUGUAGGCCCGGCCGGCGCUUGCCGACACAUCAAUCUUUUUUCCAGGUUGACCUCGGAUCAGGUAGGGAUACCCGCUGAACUUAAGCAUAUCAAUAAGCGGAGCA